AUCAUCCUUUUCUUGGGGUCGUGCUUCUCAGGAUAGUGAGGGCAGAACAGCUAACGCCUACACAACACACCUGCAUCAACUAGAGCUUUGCUUUACCUUGGUGUAAUUUUUGAGAAA
rnacentral:ncRNA from 1 species